UACGUAGGGCGCAAGCGUUGUCCGGAAUUAUUGGGCGUAAAGAGCUCGUAGGCGGCCAGUUGCGUCUGCUGUGAAAUCCCGGGGCUCAACCCCGGGCGUGCAGUGGAUACGGGCUGGCUAGAGGCAGGCAGGGGAGAACGGAAUUCCCGGUGUAGCGGUGAAAUGCGCAGAUAUCGGGAGGAACACCGGUGGCGAAGGCGGUUCUCUGGGCCGAUACUGACGCUGAGGCGCGAAAGCGUGGGGAGCAAACAGG
rnacentral:rRNA from 1 species